CGGUGUUAGUCACAAGCUCCUUGCGAUGUAUAUAAGAUGGUGAAGGCGAUGUAAGGCCAUCAUUCGAGUGAAGUGUAGCAACACACAUCAACAUGAAACUGUUCAACCUGCUGGUGCUGGUCCUCGCGGUGGUCGCCAUGUUGAUGGGCGGCGCCAGCGCACACCCCAAGGGCGCGGGGGGCGGCUUGAGGAAAGGAUUUAAAGCUAUUAAAGCUGGAAUCGGAGCUAUUGGUGCCAUUGGUACAGGCCACGAGAUUUAUCAAAGUGUCAAAAACAGAGGAUGAGCACUCCAAAUUUAAACAACAUACCUCCAUAGAGCUAUUAUUGUGAUAUCUAAAUGUAGACCCUUAAAAUAACUUUUUAAUCACUGUUAAACUUUUGAAAUAUUAAUUAAAUAAAUUUAUUAAUUUUAAAGAAA